UGAAUACUCCCUCCGUCCAAAAUUACUUGUAGCACAAAUGGAUAAAAAUAGAUGUAUCUAGAACUAAAAUGUGUCUAGAUACAUUCAUUUCUCCGACAAAUAUUUCCGGACGGAGGGAAUAAUAA
rfam:Triticum aestivum genome assembly, contig: Triticum_aestivum_CS42_TGACv1_scaffold_050922_1BS